UUUUACCUGAGUAGGCGGGAGGAUAACUCACAGGCCUACGUGAAAGACCCCUGGAGUGGGGAGACCCUCACUCAAGUCUCGGGAUGACGCAACCCCCCAAGAACUCACACAAGACC
rnacentral:pre_miRNA from 14 species